rnacentral:rRNA from 1 species
UACGAAGGUCCCGAGCGUUAUCCGGAUUUAUUGGGUUUAAAGGGUGCGUAGGCGGGUUAUUAAGUCAGUGGUGAAAUCCUACAGCUUAACCGUAGAAUUGCCAUUGAUACUGAUGAUCUUGAGUAUGAUUGAGGUGGGCGGAAUGUGUCAUGUAGCGGUGAAAUGCUUAGAUAUGACACAGAACACCGAUUGCGAAGGCAGCUCACUAAGCCAUAACUGACGCUGAUGCACGAAAGCGUGGGGAGCAAACAGG